rnacentral:rRNA from 1 species
AACGAACGCUGGCGGCGUGCCUAACACAUGCGAGUCGAACGAGAAAGGGGCUUCGGCUCCGAGUAAAGUGGCGCACGGGUGAGUAACACGUGGGUAACCUGCCUCUAAGAUUGGGAUAACUCGUCGAAAGAUGAGCUAAUACCGGAUAAGACCCCAGUUCCCGCGGGAACAGGGGUCAAAGGUAGCCUCUGCUUGCAAGCUAGCACUUAGAGAUGGGCCUGCGCACCAUUAGCUAGUUGGUAGGGUAACGGCCUACCAAGGCAAAGAUGGUUAGCUGGUCUGAGAGGAUGAUCAGCCACACUGGAACUGAGACACGAUCCAGACUCCUACGGGAGGCAGCAGUGGGGAAUAUUGCGCAAUGGGCGAAAGCUUGACGCAGCAACGCCGCGUGAGUGAUGAAGGCCUUCGGGUCGUAAAGCUCUGUCGGGAGGAACGAAUGCUCCCAGGGUUAACAGCCUCGGGAGGUGACGGUACCUUCAAAGGAAGCACCGGCUAACUCUGUGCCAGCCGCCGCAGUAAUAC